rnacentral:rRNA from 1 species
CCUACGUGAGGCAGCAGUGGUGAAUAUUGCACAAUGGGGGAAACCCUGAUGCCGCGACGCCGCGUGAGUGAAGAAGUAAUUCGUUAUGUAAAGCUCUAUCAGCAGGGAAGAAAAUGACGGUAACUGAGUAAGAAGCCCCGGCUAACUACGUGCCAGCAGCCGCGGUAAUACGUAGGGGGCAAGCGUUAUCCGGAUUUACUGGGUGUAAAGGGAGCGUAGACGGCAGUGCAAGUCUGGAGUGAAAGGCGGGGGCUCAACCACCGGACUGCUCUGGAAACUGUACGGCUGGAGUGCAGGAGAGGUAAGUGGAAUUCCUAGUGUAGCGGUGAAAUGCGUAGAUAUUAGGAGGAACACCAGUGGCGAAGGCGGCUUACUGGACUGUAACUGACGUUGAGGCUCGAAAGCGUGGGGAGCAAACAGGAGUAGAUACCCGAGGAGUC